rnacentral:rRNA from 1 species
CGUCAAUGUCAGUUCAUGUGCUGCGGGAAAUGGCUCCCAAGGAGGUAGGACUUACGCUUGCGUUUGCCUAUUAUAUCUUGGUGGACGAGUCAUCGUGGCUGGGACUGAGGUGCCUACAACGUGUUGCUGAGUGGAUGCGCAUCUCUGUGUGCUCCACAUGCAGAUAGCUUGCUAUGUGCAUGUGGCUGUAUACGGAUUGAAGAGUAUCUUAACUUGUCGCCGUUCGGGACAUUGGCGAAAUGGGGCGAUCCGACCCGUCUUGAAACACGGACCAAGGAGUCUAACAUAUGUGCAAGUGUUAGGGUGUGGAAACCCCAGCGCGAAAUUAAAGUAAAGGACAGCUCAGUUGUCUGAGGUAGGAAACGCUGCGGACUUCGGUCUGCGGUGUGGCACUAUCGACCGAUCAUGAACCUUCGUGGUGAAAGAUUUGAGUUUGAGCACAUAUGUUGGUACCCGAAAGAUGGUGAACUAUGCCCGAGUAGGGUGAAGCCAGGGGAAACUCUGGUGGAAGCUCGUAACGAUUCUGACGUGCAAAUCGAUCGUUGAACUCGGGUAUAGGGGCGAAAGACUAAUCGAACCAUCUAGUAGCUGGUUCCCUCCGAAAUCUCCCUCAGGAUAGCUGCAGCUUAUUUAUGAUAGUUUUAUGAGGUAAAGCGAAUGAUUAGAGGCCUCGGGAAAGAAUCUUUCUCGACCUAUUCUCAAACUUUAAAUCUGUAAGACCUGCAGGUUU